UAAAACGCAAGCAAUGAGCAAAUCGCCAUAAUGGUGGAAUUUAUGGAAAGGUACGUCAAUAACGUAUUUAAAAUGGUAAACACCCCGCAGGGAAGAGUGAGGCGCCAGGAACUUUGCCAACUAUUAAAGAUGUUGCUGGGUAAGGCAGGUAGUGAUCCUGACAAGUCUAUGGAGCAAUGGAUCAAGGACUACCAGUAGAGGAACAGUCAAAUGAGGAGCCUCCAGUUGAGGAACCAUCUAUCCAAAUACAAAUUUUGGAGCAGAUCACUGACAAUGAUGAACAAAAUGAUAUAUAUG